UUUCUGACUUGAUGUCUGACUAGCAUGUGUGACUUUCUCAGUUCUGGCCUGUAUAAUAAGAUCCAGUGCAACCCUAUAAAGCCUAUGAUCUAGAUACUUUGCUUAUACCUACACUUGUGAGUUGUGAUUGGUACCCAACAUUCAAGAAGUACAAUCCUAUUUCUAGUGGCUCAAGAAUCCUGUCAUUAAUAGUCAGAAAUCUAGGUAGAAAUCGUAUUACCAGAUAAGUUGCCCACAGUAUCCUGAGCUUCUGGCACCCCUAGGCUAUUUUCUACUGGCACCCUAGAAUAUUCAUACUAUAAUAACCAGACUCUAGUAUAUAUAAAUACAAAGAAUAUAGAUAGAAGCACAUUGUUUCAUGCCUUUACACCUGUAUAUACACUGAAUUAAAUAAAACAAAAUUUGUUUAACAAAAACC